ensembl:lncRNA
CACCAAGCUUAUCUUCCAGGUUUUAUGUACAAUUAUAGUGUGAUAGAAGUCAGUAAAAAUCUCCUUCAUAGUUGGAGAUCUUAAGAGAUUUUCUGGUAAUGUGUUAGAAGUAGUGAUAAGCAAGGCAUGCUGUCAGUACCUGAAAAAAUAUCUUUUCUACUAUGUUUCAGAGUGGCCCAUAGUAGUUCUUGUUUAACAUCACGUCUAGUGGAUUAUCAACUGCUUUAUAGAAGAGUGAACUGUAUGUGCUUUUUCCACUGGUGGGAAUUCUCAGGGUUCUGCCACUAGCCCAGUGCGGCAUGUAAAUACGAUGAGGAAGAGGCACUUUGUUGCUGUCAAGAAUAGCCUGUGAUGUUGUAUGACUGCUUCAAGUCUUGAUGAUCCAAAGAGAAGAGUGAGUGAAAGAUCUGAGGGGGAAACACAGAGACGUUAAAGGAUAUACAUAACUGAGUGCUGAAAUGCAAAGCACACACUAGCUCAACUCUCCCACUGACUCGUGAAUGUCUUUUGUAACUGUAUGAUUAUUUGUAUUUUUAAGUUUUAUAUAUUUAUACUUGUAUGCUCUUACAUGUAUAUGAAACUUCAGGUUUCCCCUUCCAUCUAUCUUCCCUCCAUAUCUUCCUAUCUUCCCUUCCAUAAUCUCAGUUUCCUGAAACUGAUUACCUGAGAUUUGCAGGGUUGCCCUGGAAGGGGAGGAAAACAAUGGGCAUCAGCUCAAAGGGCAGAAGUGCAGAGGGUGGUUGUGUAUAAGCUGUGAGAGGAAAUGGAAAAGACAAAGACGAGUUUGGACCAAAUCCUUUUGCUGUGAGGAAUGAAUAUGAGCCAAGUUUAAUGACAACAGUAUUUAGUGGAGGAGCACACGUUUUGCUCUUAGGGACAGAGAGAAAUGACUGGAUUUCUCAGAUAUAUAAGAGAAGCAGGAUUUAAUAGCAAUACUGAAGGGAAAAGAAAUGAACAGAGAAGUUUUUAAAAAGCACUGGCUUUGUGGCACUAAUAACUACAGGAGAUGAGAGACCUGCCAGUGGUGACAAACAAAGGAGAGGAUUUAUGUGAAAAAAUGAGUAAGUCAACCUCCA